rnacentral:rRNA from 1 species
ACGGAAGGCAGCAGUGGGGAAUAUUGCACAAUGGGCGAAAGCCUGAUGCAGCGACGCCGCGUGAACGAAGAAGUAUUUCGGUAUGUAAAGUUCUAUCAGCAGGGAAGAUAAUGACGGUACCUGACUAAGAAGCACCGGCUAAAUACGUGCCAGCAGCCGCGGUAAUACGUAUGGUGCAAGCGUUAUCCGGAUUUACUGGGUGUAAAGGGAGCGCAGGCGGCGCGGCAAGUCUGAAGUGAAAUCCCGGGGCUCGACCCCGGAACUGCUUUGGAAACUGUCGUGCUAGAGUGUCGGAGGGGUAAGCGGAAUUCCUAGUGUAGCGGUGAAAUGCGUAGAUAUUAGGAGGAACACCAGUGGCGAAGGCGGCUUACUGGACGAUAACUGACGCUGAGGCUCGAAAGCGUGGGGAGCAAACAGGAUUAGAUACCCUGGUA